UUAGGAAAACUUGAACAAAAUACAAUCUUUAUUCAUUAUAUACAGUACAUACAAUGCAAUACUACAAGGCUUUCUACACAUUCACUGUAAUCCAGAGUAGUGCUCACUGAUCGUAGAGUACCAGCUUUAAAACUCCUGAGUCCCACCCAAAGAAAGACACAAAGAAAAGUCGUAUUUGGCAUUGUGUGUUCUUACAAAGGUGCUUUGAAUUAGUCUCGAACACAAAGCUAAUGCUACAGCCAGUGUGGUGAGCCCUACGUGUUAUCAAAAUGUCAUCAUUUUUUUAAAUUCUUCUCAUUUCUCCUCCUCCGAAACACAUUAGCACACAAAAAGAACAUUUAAUAGUGUAGACUGUUACACUUCCUCAGUAUGUGAAUUUAGGCCACUUCUGCUGAUCCCUGCUACCUGUCUGAAAGAUUAGUAAUACAUGAAUAUAUGGAGAAACAGAGCAUCUCCAUCCUGGGAAAGGUUUUAUAGAAGGAAUAAAAGAGUGAACAGUGAGGUGUCUUGGCUGAAAUAACUGGAUACAAAUUCCACACAUGUGAGAUUUGUAGGUGGUGUGUUGAUGUCAGAAGCUCAAAGGAUCACACCUCUGUUUGUUCAUUAACGUGACCACAUACACAGUAGGCCAUUUGUUACAAACCAUACAUAGUUAAAGAACAGCUGACACAAAGUGUGGAGGGAAGCAGCAGCUCGGCUGGUCUGUCCAAACACUCAAAGACGAAAUGAUGAAAACUUUGUCUUGUUUGUUUAAUCUGUAAAGCCAAACAUCAACUUUCAGGCCUGAAGCAUCAAUUCAAUGAAGAACUGCCAAUAAAAUGUAGUUGUUUGGAGGCUGCCUCCACACACCCGCCAUUGUUCAUCUCUACAGCACUGAAAAGCUCUGGCCUCUACACUUUCCUCCAUGACAACAUAGCUCAUCCCAGGGGUCUACUGGUGAGGCUGAGUUAGGGGCUUAGCUGCCUAACAGGUGCCCUGACACCACUUUUGCAUUUUAUGCUUUAAAAAAAAAAAAAAAAAAAAAAAAAUGCGGCACUAAUGCUCCAAAUAAAUUUCCAAACUCCAUCUCUGUGUGGUGGCUCAGUGGCUACGUUCUUAUGGGCAAACACUUAUUACGGUUGUACAGGAGCUAUGUGCGCACAUUAAUAUUAUCCAUUUACUGCACCUUGUUGAAGUUUCCUACCAUUAUGGUUGCCAGGCAACCAGAAAACUAUGCUGACUAUGUUAACAGUUACACAAAGCUUGUAAGUGUUGCUGCUAAGUGAAGCUAGCUUCCUGUUAGCAGCGCAUCACUAUCAAUAACUGUCAAGUGUAGUGCACAGUGUAGGGUGGUGUCAAUGCUCUGAGCCAAUCAAAGAUACACUGCUGAAAAUAUCACUGCUGUGACUGACAGUAACAUCGUCAUAGCAGCAGGAAUUCAAUAGAAGCAGUUAGUUGCAUCUCGUGUUAUCAUCACACUGUUUGAAGGUCGGGAACUUUAUGGGGCAAAAACACAGGUGGUGGUCGAGUGUGCUAGAAUUUUACUCUCUACUCUCAUUUUAAGAACCUGAUCAUGGAAUGAAUUUGAUUUCUUCAUAUUUUAAAUACACAUUUUGGAGCUACAAAAGAAAAUCGAGCAGUUGAUGGACUGAAGACAAAAUCCAGGUCUUUGUAAGUUUGAAGCACAAACAGGAAGCAGCAACACGGCCGCGGAUUUUUGAUGCAUCAGCUGACUAACAGGUCUCCAACACUAGGCCCCAUAGCUUAGAAAAAUUCAAUUAUGGAAGUUUAUUAAAAAAAAUAAAAAACAAACAAAAAAACUUCUUAAGGUUCUUUAAUUUCAAAAUAGGAGCAUUAUCUAUAAUUCAUGUGUCCGAUGAAUGAAAUGUGAUUCAGUUGGCAUCUUUGAUUCAAACUAUGAGGAAAAGAGUGUGAAACAUAAAUUUGGGCUGCGUUACACGGCUGUAAGAGAAUCCACUCUUUUGUUGAACUGUGCUGAAUGUUCUUUGAAUCUCCCAGGAAGAAGUCUGUUCAAGUAUAGCACACACUCGACGAACGGGGUGCGAGAGUCCCAGCAGCUGCGUCGGGGUGACUGCGUCUUAGUGUUCUAAUGCAUCAGUUAUCAGAAACAAGGCAUUGGAAGAAAUAUUUGUUGCUUUCAGUGAUCAAUGAAUGCCAGCAGGACUGAAGUGAACACGUUUCCUGUGAAAUACAAUCAGUGAGAGUCUGACUCAGUCAGGGAAGACGGCAAACAGCAAAGCUAGUGGGGAGUAAGCACCUGCAUGAAACACGGAUCCCUCAGAGUAAGAUGGUGACAGAGAAACUGCAGCUACCGCAGCCAAACUACUGCUACACAUAUGCAGCUAACCUGACCUUUGACAUCCUCCAAAAGCAUUUUAUCCAAACUUCCCAGCUCAAUGUUUUCCUUCCUUCUGUGAGCUUACAAUCAGGUCUGUGUUACACAUGGUUGAUAGGAAAGUCUCAGGUGUGUAAUAAAAAUAAGCUGAAGAUCAACUUUUACAAACUGGAAAUGUCUCCAUGAUCUGAUGAUGCGCCUGUUUGUUAGCAGUGUGAUCAGGAGGUACAGCAGCACCUAAAACCACAGCAGCCUCUGAUCAGGAAGAUUGUGUGUGUUCAUGACAACAAAGGAAGUUAAAAGGUGGGAAAGUUGACCCCAGCAGGUAAACAUUAUUUUGCCAUCGGACCAAUCAGCAUGCAUUUAUGUCACAGACUGUGCUGGAACCUGAAAGAGAAGUUGUAAAGGCCCUAAAGAACAGGGUGCCCAAUGGGAUCGUUUCCAGCUGUCGUGUGCCCGGUGAGUUUAACCUCAAAGAGUUAAUAACUGCAGCACAUCCAGGUCAAUCACAGGAGUUCAAUCAACAGAAGAUUAAUUAGCGAUACCAGUUUGUGCUUCUUUUUUUUUUUAAGUUGCUCUCCAAUUUCUUGGGCGGAGCCAGCAGCUCAUUGGUUACACGAUGAGAUUAGUCAUGAAAAUCACAACUGUAGCCCAGCUGAGUUAUUAUUAGCGCUGUCAGCUCGAUAACCCAGAGUUUUAUAUUCAACACAAUGUUGGUCCUGUUAUAACGGUCACAGAUUACAAGCUGGAUGUUCCAUGACUGUAUAUGAUGAAGUGGGGCUGACUGAUAAUAAGACCAGAGUUUCAUCCACUACAUCAUCCCACUGAAGGACCAUGCUGCCAAACUGAAAACACCUUUAGCUGCUCUGCAAAGAUCAAACUGGAUAACUGGCACCAGCACCUCGCUCACACGUCUCGUUUAAACUCUUUAAUAAGUAAGUGCUAAAUGUAGAGCCACAAAGUUACUGGACCCGAUGGUUUUUUUGUUUUUGACGUUUUUUGAUAAGGAGGGGGGAGAAAGAGCAUGACCUGACACAAGUCCAGGACACUUGGAGCAAAUUCCUAUAUGUAUAUUUACAUAUUCUGUACAUCCACUCAGAAUUAAAUGACAGUCCAAUAAUUUAACUGUUAUCAGCCAGUUUUACAGGGAUAGCAACCAAAAAAUAUAUAUAUAUAUAUAUAUAUAUAUAUAUAUAUAUAUAUAUAUAUAUAUAUAUAUAUAUAUAUAUAUAUA
ensembl:lncRNA